ACUAUUUUGGCAGAUUAGUGUAAUAAAUUUAGAAUUUAUUUAAGUAUAAGUAAUCUUAUACAUAUAGUA
rnacentral:tRNA from 1 species